UAAUCAAAUCAGCCAAAUCCCAACAAACCUGCUUUUUGACCAGUACCAAACUUGCUUUUUGACCAAAGCUGCUUUUUAGGGCAAAUCAUUUCAGCCCUCCCCAAUCGCCUUCGCCUCCAUCUAUCUCUAUUCUCGUUCUCAACUCUGAACUUGCCCACUCUCUCUCUGCAACUGCAAACUACAAAAUCUACAAGAAUCAGAAGUUCAAAACCCAUAUAUUUCACUUUAUCUAUCUGAAUCAAAAGUUCAAAACCUAAUCAAACCCAUAUCGGCAUAUCAUUUCAGAUUGUUCAAAAAAUCGAAACCCAUAUCUUUCAGUUUUCAUCGCCCGCUGUUCCAGUUCGGGUUCGCCGUUCGCUAGCUUCAGCCGCUGGCCCGCUGUCUCUCAACUCUCAAGCUUGCCCCCCUCUCUCUCUCUGCAACUGCUAACUUGUAGAUUAACACGGGGCCUUAACAACAACGAGCAAGAAAAAGGGUCAAGACUCAAGAAACAUGCCUCCUCAGUCAUCAGGUUCCUUUCACAAUAGAAGAGAGUUGAUGGGAAUGGGUGGAGUAGGCAAAAAAGAAAAAAAGGUUGAGGGGUGUGGAAAAAAGUUGUUGGCAUGAGCGGUUGCAGUCAGCGGAUCCAAACUUGAAGAAUGGUGGAAAUGAAACGAUUCAAAAUCAGAGAAGUCCGAGGAUGAUUUCAGGGGGCUUUGAAGAUUGAAAGUCUUCAGGUUGCCAAAUUUGUAGCAGACAUUGGGGCAACAAAACUGAAGGUUGCUAAAUCGAGUCUCGAGUCUGGCCGUUGCCUCGACUUCACUUCUCCCCACUUUCUUCUGGGGCUUGGCGUCUUUGGGUAUCAGUACUGCAAAAUAUGCUCUUGGCGUAUCCGGAUCCGUAUACCCCGCUGCCAAUGGAUCCGUAUACUCCUCUGCGAACGGAUUCGCAUUUGCCAAUGGAUCCGGAUGCCCUUCUGCCUCGGGAUCCCGAUGCCUUCUGCAUCCGGGCCCGGAUACCACGUUUACUCCACCUCUUCUGACUUGGCUUCCUCGGUCAGCCCAGCUACAUUUUAACCCACGAACUAGAGAUGAAAUGAAGGCUGGAGGAUUGCGGAUUGUUAUUUGGCAACAAAUGAAGUAGUCUGCCUAGCUACGAGAUGAUACGAAGGUAGGAGGAUUGCAAAUGAAGUAGGCUAGUAGUACUUUUACCCCGAGGCAAAGGGGCAUCCGGAUACCCCUCUGCCAAUGCAUCCGGAUACCCCUCUAUCUUGGUAUCUGGAUACCACGUUUCCUCCACCUCUUCUGACUUGGCUUCCUCGUUCAGCCCAGUUAGAAUUGCGGAUUGUUAUUUGGCAACAAAUGAAGUAGGCUGUCCGAUAUGAUACGAAGGUAGAUUGCAAAUGAAGUAGGCUAGUAGUACUUUUACCUCGAGGCAGAGGGGCAUCUGGAUACCCUCUGCCGGAUGCCUCUGCCAACGGAUCCGGAUUUGCCAACGGAUCCGGAUGCCCCUCUGUCUCGGGAUCUGGAUACCACGUUUCCUCCACCUCUUCUGACUCGGCUUCCUCGGUCAGCCCAGCUAUCUUUUGACCCACGAACUAGAGAUGAAAUGAAGGGCGGAGGAUUGCAGAUUGUUAUUUGGCAACAAAUGAAGUAGGCUGCCCGAUAUGAUAGGAAGGUAGGAGGAUUGCAAAUGAAGUAGGCUAGUAGUACUUUUACUUUCAUGCAAUUCAAUGUAUUGAAAAUUUACGCAGAUAUAUAAAAUAGGCCUUUGGACUUGAAAUUGGAAAAAAAAAAUA